rnacentral:rRNA from 1 species
UACGUAGGGGGCAAGCGUUGUCCGGAUUUAUUGGGCGUAAAGCGCGCGUAGGCGGCCCUGUAAGUCCGUUGUGAAAGUCAAAGGCUCAACCUUUGAAAGCCGAUGGAUACUGCAGGGCUAGAGUCCGGAAGAGGCGAGUGGAAUUCCUGGUGUAGCGGUGGAAUGCGCAGAUAUCAGGAGGAACAUCAAUAGCGAAGGCAGCUCGCUGGGACGGUACUGACGCUAAGGCGCGAAAGCGUGGGGAGCGAACAGG